GUAGUCUCGCACAGAUGCAUAUCAAUAAGCGGAGGAAAAGAAACUAACAAGGAUUCCCCUAGUAACGGCGAGUGAAGCGGGAAGAGCUCAAAUUUGAAAUCUUAAAGGGUUUCCCUUUACGAAUUGUAGUUUAAAGAAGUGUUUUCUGUUGAGGUUUUGGUAAAAGUUCUUUGGAAUAGGACAUCAUAGAGGGUGAGAAUCCCGUAUUUGACCUUUACUUUCAACUUUGUGAUACACUUUCAAAGAGUCGGAUUGUUUGGGAAUGCAGUCCAAAAUGGGUGGUAAAUUUCAUCUAAAGCUAAACUAUUGGCGAGAGACCGAUAGCGAACAAGUACCGUGAGGGAAAGAUGAAAAGAACUUUGAAAAGAGAGUUAAACAGUACGUGAAAUUGUCAAAAGGGAAGCGUUUGACACCAGUGUUGUUUUUCUGAAAAUCAAUUAAAGAACUGUUUAUGCUAAGUUGUUUAGACUUUAUCAGCUAACUGUUUAGUUUUGAGCUUUUCUUUGAUGCACUUUUCAGUUAACAAGUCAACAUCAAUUUCUUUUGCUGUAAAAAAGCUUGAGGAAGGUGGCUUGAGAUUCGUCUUAAGUGUUUAUAGCCUCUUGCCUAUGCAGUCGGAGAGAUUGAGGUCUGCAGCGUAGAUCCUUCGGGGCUAAAUGCAUUUGUGCUAAGUUAUAGCAUUUUAUAGACAACUUGUUGACUAUGAUUUGUCUUGUAGCUUACUCGCUUAUGUUAUUUUACCUACGCUUAGGAUGUUGACGCGCGUGUGUGCGUG
rnacentral:rRNA from 1 species